CGCGGUUAUUUCCAAUCCAGGAUCAGCUCAGAUGGAUCAUGAAGGAGAAGCAUACCUAUGAUGGAUAAUGAAGAACAAAACAGUCUUACAGACUGGCUCCCAUCAAAUUUCAGAAUAUGUACAUCAUCAGAAGAAUACAUCAGGAAUUGUUUCUUCAGAAGAAGAACUGAGACAUCUUCUGGAAAGCCACAAGCGUGCAUCUGGCACAUCUUACACUGUUUGCAUACUGAACACGAAUACACAAGAAGA